rnacentral:rRNA from 1 species
AGCGAACGCUGGCGGCAGGCUUAACACAUGCAAGUCGAACGGGCGUAGCAAUACGUCAGUGGCAGACGGGUGAGUAACACGUGGGAACCUUCCUAGGGGUACGGAGCAACUCAGGGAAACUUGAGCUAAUACCGUAUACGUCCGAGAGGAGAAAGAUUUAUCGCCCUUAGACGGGCCCGCGUCGGAUUAGGUAGUUGGUGGGGUAACGGCCUACCAAGCCGACGAUCCGUAGCUGAUCUGAGAGGAUGAUCAGCCACACUGGGACUGAGACACGGCCCAGACUCCUACGGGAGGCAGCAGUGGGGAAUCUUGGACAAUGGGCGCAAGCCUGAUCCAGCCAUGCCGCGUGAGUGAAGAAGGCCUUAGGGUUGUAAAGCUCUUCUGGCAGGGACGAUAAUGACGGUACCUGCAGAAUAAGCCCCGGCAAACUUCGUGCCAGCCGCCGCCGUAACAC